rnacentral:lncRNA from 1 species
GAUGUUAAGCUUCCCGUUGAAUUCUGAGGAAACAGUGUUUAACAGAUUCUCCCUUUGAGUUUGAUCUGAAACAUCACACACCGAACCUGUAACCCGAAAACCCUUUGCUUUCCAUUCGAGUAAGCAAUUGUUGAGCUCGGUUUCAGUUCGAGAGCAUGUAUGCACAAUCGCUCCGAAUCCAGCUAAUUCCUCCACAAUUGCAUGCCUGAUCACCAAUUGCAAUACUUGGUUUUUCACAUUGGCAUAAAGUCAAACAUGUUUAAGACGAUAUGAAAAACAAUCAUCUUUUACGUACAUUUCCACUAAAUUCAUGUCAAAUCAUGAAAAGGAGAUAAACAUCUUCGUGUUGUGUCGUGUUUUAGUUGUUGUUCUGAAAUUUUUAUGAAAUAAGGAGAGGAAAUUACCCGAGCCCUUUGGUUCCACCANNNNNNNNNNNNNNNNNNNNNNNNNNNNNNNNNNNNNNNNNNNNNNNNNNNNNNNNNNNNNNNNNNNNNNNNNNNNNNNNNNNNNNNNNNNNNNNNNNNNCAAGUGCAGUCAUGCCUUGGAGACUCCAUCUUGAAGACUCCUAUUGUACCUAAACCUACGCUUCUACCUACUUUACUUACAUUCAUAUAUAUAUAUAUAUAUAUAUAUAUAUAUAUAAAAGUUCACUAAACUAUUACUAAAUUUUCUGCCAAAAAAAAUAUUAUUUAGUUUAUGUUUUGGUCAAUCAACUUUAGAAAGUUAUAAAAUAGUCACUGCAUUAUUCGAAAAUUUUCAUUUAAGUCUGGCUAAUGAGCUCCAAGCGACGAUUCGACGAUUAGUACAGUAAAUCAGUACUCUUUGACAAGUAGAUGAACAUACUUUAAAUCCAAGUCGAUCGAACAAUUACUGUCAAAAAUCAGAUAAGAAAAUUUACUAAUAAUUUAGUGACCUAAGGUGUAGUUUAACCAUAUAUAUAUAUCCAUGGUUGAAACUAGAAAUUUCUUUUAGUGGCCAGUGAUUAAGUCAUAUUUUGUAUGAGAACAAUAAAUGAUCUUAGAAGAAGCUAAAUUAUAAUUUUAUGAAUUUUGAGAGGUUUAAAACAGAAAUUUCUCAUUUUAAGGGUGCGGUCCCUUCACCCCUAAAUCUACUCUACUAUUAUAAAAUUCUUAAUUUAAAUUAAUAUCGCCAACUUUAUUUUUAAAAACAUUUUUUAUCUUUAUUUUAUGAUACACGUUUGUGUUGGAUAUUAUCAUCUUUUUUUUCAGCCAUCGAAAUUGAAGUCAACAAAUAAUAUAUGUUUUAUUUUUUUUUACUCCAAUAAAUAAUAUAUAUGUCUUUUUCAGGGGCUUAUUUUUUUAGUAAAUUAGACGGGUUACUCAAUUAUUUAUAUCUUUUUGUCUUUUCAAUUUUAAGAUGGUAUAAUAUCAUAAAUAGUCCUUACAAGCUCAUUAAAAUUUCAAUAUAGUCCAUCCACUUUGCAAGUUCAAAAGUGAACCAUAACAUUCAUCUUAAAAAUUGUACUUCGUUAACAAGUAAAUCUUAAACUUUUCAUAUUUUAUAAAUAAUCGGAUUUCAAUACUUCAAUUUUUAAUUAAGAAAAUAAGAGUUUUAAAACCUAAUUCUAAAUUGAAGGGAACAUGUUGAAAUUUUGAUAAAAAUUAAGGACUAUAUUGAAAAUUUUAAGAUGAAACUAGUAAAUUUUUAAAUAUAGUUUUGAAGUGGAUGGACUAAAUUGAAAAUGAAUUUUUAUUGAUCAUGUAUAGUAUUAUUCCAGGAUGAAGCAAGAAACUUUUUUUAGGGUGCCGGAGAUUUGGUCGUAUUUUUAUGAGAACAAAAUGCAGUUAUAUUUUUAUGGUUUUUAAAAGGAUUAAAUCAAAAUUUUAACAUUUUCAAAAAGAUCACACUAUAAUUUUAUGAAUUUUUAAGAAGUUUAAAACAGAAAUUUUUGAUUUUAGGGUCAACGAUGCACAUGGUAGGGUGUUUCAUAAUAUACGUUAGUGAAUAUUACAUGUUGGAAAGUAUUGUCCCUUUCAGCCAACCAUCAAGUCCUAGUGCAAGGACCCCAGGGUUUGGUACAUAUUAUUUCGAUAUUAAAACAUUAUUAAUGAUAGAAGUUGAGUGCAGUAAUAAGAUAUAUUAUACUCUCAAUUAAAGAUAUAAGUUCGAAUUAUGAAAAAAACUCUGUUGGGAGGAAUAAUCACAAACCCUGAACAUUGAAUCGUAAAACGGACAUUGAAAGUAAAUAAAUAAAAAGAAUCGAUAUUGAAUAAUUUAAGUUUUAUUUCGAUUAAAAUUUCAAUCAUUGUGAUGGAUUCAGUUGUAUGGUGCGUACAAGCAUGUAUCAUUUGAUGCAUGAUUUUAAUAUAUUAAAUUAAUUUUCUAAUUUUAAUUUAUCGAAUAAAAUUAUUUCUUAAUUUUUAUUUUAUUUUUAAUAAUUACAGUAAAAAAGUAAUAUAUAUAUAUAUAUAAUCAUUAUAUUAAGUUAUUAAAGCUAAUAAAUGAUAAGAAAAUGAAAAAAAAUACACUACCAAUUUCUUUAUUUUGUAUUUUUCAUUUCAAAAAGCAAUUUUAUUAAGGAUAAACUACAAUAGUAGUGACCUAACUAUUAGUAAACUUCUUGGUUAGUCACCCAACUAUUUAAUUUUGUAUUUUUCUGUCACGAACUGGCUAAUGGUGGCAACUUUGACGAUCAACAUUUAUAAAUCAUGACAAUUUAGUAUUGUUUCUAAGAAACUUAUCCCUCAACGUUUACGCAUCGCGUAAGUUGGUCUUUUUGUUUUAGUUUUGUUUUUCUUUGUGACAUUAAGGGUUAAUUUUAAAAGAAUGAGAAAAAAUGAAGAUUAUUAUCUUGGAUUUUUUGGUAUUUCCAUUUCAAUCAAACUUAGCUAAUUUUUUUUUUAAUAUUUUAGGUGAAAGGGUCGCAAAGAAAAACAAAAUUGCAAAAAAAAAAAAGAUAAUGUUGAGUCAUUCAAGUUUCAUUUCGAUUAAAAUUUUAGUCAUUGUGGUGUAUUUCGGCCGAUGUUGAUUUGUAUGGUGCAUACAAGCUUGAAUAAGUUGAUACAUAAUUUUGAUGCUUUAAGUGAACUUUUUAAAUUUAAUUUUUAAUUUAUGCAAUAGAAACUAUUUCUUAAUUUUUUUUUCUCAAUCAAAGAUAUUAUUAAAGAAAGGUUAACCUAUACAAAUAGUCACCCAACUAUAUGUGCAUUCCUGUUUUGGUUACCUAACUUUAAAAUUUUCAAUUUAGGCACUAACGUUUGGAUUCGUUCUUUUUUUGGUCACCAGCCAUUAAAUUGAUAACCGGAAGUCUUUUUGUAAUUUUUAUAAUAACGCAGUUAGUCCUCAAUACUUAUUCUAUCAAUUUGGUCCUAAUUCUAAAUAAUUCAACAAAUAUAACCCUUCAUGUUUACAAAUUCUAUCAAUUUGAUUCUCAAACUUUCUAACCAAAGCUUUUAGCUUUUAAAACAGAGGCACUCCACAUCUAUUAAUUGUUUUAUUUAUGGUUGAAAUUAUUCAAUUCGGUACAUAACCCUUUUUUAUAUUUUUAAGAAGUUACUGCUAGAAAUUAACUAAGCACUGUUAAAAAUAAUAGAAAAUAUAAAUUUUAAAAAUAUAAUAUACAAUAAAUUUAUAUAAAUAAUUUAAUAUUUUUAAAAAAUAAUAUUCCACUCUAACUAGCAUUAAUUUGGUAAAUGAUUUAACACUGAUAACAUGAAUCAAGUUACAUCAAAUUAAAGUAAAGAGGUUAAAUUUUAAAUUUUAACAUAGUAUAGAUACUAAAAGCAUAAUUAGACCAUUAAAAACAUAUUUAAAUUAUGAUAAGUCUUUUAACAUUCACAGUUGACAAACAUGUCUUCUUAUUCAUAUCUCAUAGCUUAAACAUGUCCAAUUCAUCUCAAUUUUCAACCUACAUACUUGAGUUCAUGGCUCCUUGUUUCUUUCAUGAUUUACUUAGGAAAGAAGAGGCCAUUCACGCUCAUCCCACCAUCAACACAAAUAACCUGCCCCGUUACAUAUGAAGCCGCCGGUAGGCACAGGAAAGCCACCAUAGCUGACACUUCCUUCGGCUGUCCAAGCCGUCCUAAUGGUGUUCGGUUUAGGGUUACCUCUAAUCCUUCUUUAUUAACUUCGAAAUACUAGAAAAAGAAUACAAUAAAUUUGAGUUCAAUUAUAAGUUUCUUGAAACAAAAGUAUAAAAGAUAAGGUUAAACUAUACCCAAGAUUACUCAAUUAUUAGUAAGUUUUCGUUUUGACCACUCAACUUCAAAAAGUUACAAAAUGGUCCCUAAACUAUUCAGAAAUUUUUAUUUAAGUCACUGAGCUAUUCGAAAGUUUUCAUUUGAUGAUUAGAGUCAAAGAUUAAAGAAGAAAGUUGCUUGAAUUUUGGUUCACAAAUUCGUGAUAUUCAAAGAUGUUCAUAAAAAAAACUAAAUUUUAGAAGAAAAGGAGAAGGAAAGCUUUCGAUUGGUGUGAACAGAAAAUGUUAUAUAGCAGUGAUUUUAGCAUCUCAGUGACUUAAAUAAAAACUUUUGAAUAAUUCAAUGAUCAUUUUGUAACUUUUUGAAGUUGAAUGAUCUGAUCAAAACGUUAACUUACUAAUCAUAUAGUGACCUUAGGUAUAAUUUACUCAAAAUAUAAAGCAUAAGGAAGAGCUUCUUACCUUUUCAAGGAGGGCUGUUUUGACGACCGAAGGUAAAACAGCAUUAACCCUAAUAUUAUCUCUUGCCCAAUCACAUGACAAGUAUUUCGCAAGCUGGCUCAUGGCAGCUACAACAAAAACACAUAAUUUUAUACUCUUAUAUAUAACAACAUAUACAUAAUAUAAUGUUAAGUACAUCAAAUAUAGUCAAAUUAUCACUUAACCUAGAUUUGAAAUUGCUCCAUAAAUUUUACAAUGAUUCGAUUGAGUUUUCAAAGUAAUAGUAUUAUAUCAAUCAAGUCAUUUCAUCAGUCUAGCAUUAACUGUCAGUUUAGAUUUGAUCUUCAUUCUAAAUUAGUCUCCGAAUUUCAAAACAUUCAAUAACACGUCAAAUCUUAACGAGAGAGAGAAAACACCAAAAUUAAGUUUUUUUUUAGAAUAAAAAAUUAAGAUUUUUAAAACAUCCAUUUUAACAAUAUUUAUUUUCUUAAUUUUUUUUCAUUUCAUAUUAUGUCACAUACGAUCUAAUGUGUCAUUUAACAGUUAAAUUAAUGAUUUCAAUAACAGAAAGACCUAAUUGAUAUAAUAUUGAUAGUUUGGAGAUGCGAUUAGAAUGAUUUGAAGUUUAGGGACCAAUUUAGAAUAAAAGACAUAGUCUAAGAUGUUUGCUGCAAUUAACUCAAAUAAUAAGUUUAGAAGAAAAAAUUACCUUUGUUGGAAGCAUAUAUAGCCCCAAAGUAUGCGGGUAAUAGACUAGCAAUUGAAGACAUAAACACAACGCUUCCAGCACUUGAAGCUUUUAAAAGGGGAUAUGCCAACACACUAAUGUUAAAAGCCGAUUCGAAGUUGGUGCUCGUCAAAGACGAAACAUCUUCCGCCGUGUAAUCCGUCACCAAUUUCGUUGUAUUCGUUCCCACGUUAUUUAUCUACAAAUUUUAUCCAUCAUCAUCAUUCAAAUCCAUCGCUUGUCUAAUUCUUAAAUAGAUUUGUGGAUUUGAUCUGUUUUCGAAAAUUCGAUUUAAUUAUAAAAGAUUAACAGUCUAAAUUUAAAAUAAUUCGAAUUUAAAACUAUCCGAACCUAAAAUAAUUCUAAUGAUUUAAACUAAAGGUGAUUAUGGGCCAAGCCAGAUUCAAGCCGAGCCUAAAAUUUUACUCAAGUCUGCUCUGCCCAUAUUUAUAAAUGUAUAACUGAAGUCCAUUUUAAGCCCACCUAUAUAUUUUUUUUUAAUUUUAAGAAAUAUAUUUAUUUUAAUAUAUAAUAAUUUUAUAUUUUUUUAUUUAUUCAAAUUAUAUAUAGUUAUCUUAACAUUUGUUAAUGUUUACAUUAUAGUAGUAUUAUCUAUUAUUAUAAAAUUAAAUUUUAUGUGUUAUAAAUUAUAUAAUAUAUAAAAAUAAUAUAAUAAAAAAACAUGAUAAACUUUAAAACUCGUGGCCAGUGUCUUCUCCCUUAAUGGGCCUACUGAACGCGAAAGAUUAGUCAUUGGGCUCACUCUAAUAAAUACCUUUGAGAACUAAAAAAGAAAAUAGGACUAGACCUGGCUCGAGCCUUUAAUAUUCAAGCCUGAGCUCAACCAUAUUUUAAACGGACCUAUUUUUUUGCCCAAACCCUUUUUCAAGCCUAAUAUUUUUAUCUAAACCCUUUCAAAUUUCAUAUGAUUUUUCGAACCUAGAAGGGUAACCCAGCCAUUAACAAGUCUAAUUUAAACCUAAAAUUAUUUAUAUUAUAUUUGAGAUCAUCACUGAAAAAAAAAUUGCUCUUAUUUAUUUUGCUAAUCACUCUUUUUUUUUAGAUUUUAAAAUUUAGAAUUAAUUGUUAAUCCCGUUAAAAUUCUUUUGUUGAAUUCAUUGGUGUGAGAUUUUGAAAUAAAAAAUAUAUAUAUAUACUUAUUUCGUAGCCAUAUAACAAAAAUUUUAAUAUUGUCAUGAACCUGAAUUUAAUAGAAUAGUUUUAACGAUAUUAACAAUUGAACUUGUAUUUUUAAAUACUAAAAAAAGACGGGCUAAAUAUUUUAAAUGGAUAAAGAGUACAAAGACUUUCAACAUUUAUAGUAAUUUACCAGGAUGUUAAGCUUCCCGUUGAAUUCUGAGGAAACAGUGUUUAACAGCUUCUCCCUUUGAGUUUGAUCUGAAACAUCACACACCGAACCUGUAACCCGAAAACCCUUUGCUUUCCAUUCGAGUAAGCAAUUGUUGAGCUCGGUUUCAGUUCGAGAGCAUGUAUGCACAAUCGCUCCGAAUCCAGCUAAUUCCUCCACAAUUGCAUGCCUGAUCACCAAUUGCAAUACUUGGUUUUUCACAUUGGCAUAAAGUCAAACAUGUUUAAGACGAUAUGAAAAAC